rnacentral:rRNA from 1 species
UACGUAGGGUGCGAGCGUUAAUCGGAAUUACUGGGCGUAAAGCGUGCGUAGACGGUUAUGUAAGUCGGGUGUGAAAGCCCCGGGCUCAACCUGGGAAUGCCAUUCGAGACUGCAUAGCUAGGGUGCGGAAGAGGGAAGCGGAAUUUCAGGUGUAGCGGUGAAAUGCGUAGAUAUCUGAAGGAACACCAGUGGCGAAAGCGGCUUCCUGGUCCAGAACCGACGUUCAGGCACGAAAGCGUGGGGAGCAAACAGG